rnacentral:rRNA from 1 species
CCUAACACAUGCAAGUCGAACGGUAACAGGAAGAAGCUUAGCUUCUUUGCUGACGAGUGGCGGACGGGUGAGUAAUGUCUGGGAAACUGCCUGAUGGAGGGGGAUAACUACUGGAAACGGUAGCUAAUACCGCAUAACGUCGCAAGACCAAAGAGGGGGACCUUCGGGCCUCUUGCCAUCGGAUGUGCCCAGAUGGGAUUAGCUAGUAGGUGGGGUAACGGCUCACCUAGGCGACGAUCCCUAGCUGGUCUAAGAGGAUGACCAGCCACACUGGAACUGAGACACGGUCCAGACUCCUACGGGAGGCAGCAGUGGGGAAUAUUGCACAAUGGGCGCAAGCCUGAUGCAGCCAUGCCGCGUGUAUGAAGAAGGCCUUCGGGUUGUAAGAAGU